rnacentral:rRNA from 1 species
AGAAUCAACGCUGGCGGCGUGCCUAACACAUGCAAGUCGAACGAGAAAGUGGAGCAAUCCAUGAGUAAAGUGGCGACCGGGUGAGUAACACGUGACUAACCUACCCUCGAGUGGGGAAUAACAUCGGGAAACCGAUGCUAAUACCGCAUAACAUCGCAAGAUCAAAGCAGCAAUGCGCUUGAGGAGGGGGUCGCGGCUGAUUAGCUAGUUGGUAGGGUAAUGGCCUACCAAGGCUUAGAUCGGUAGCCGGCCUGAGAGGGCGCACGGCCACACUGGAACUGAAACACGGUCCAGACUCCUACGGGAGGCAGCAGUGGGGAAUUUUGCGCAAUGGGGGAAACCCUGACGCAGCAACGCCGCGUGGAGGAUGAAGUCCCUUGGGACGUAAACUCCUUUCGAUCGGGAAGAUACUGACGGUACCGGAAGAAGAAGCACCGGCUAACUCUGUGCCAGCAGCCGC